rnacentral:rRNA from 1 species
CGGAGGAUCCAAGCGUUAUCCGGAUUUACUGGGUUUAAAGGGUGCGUAGGCGGGCGCUUAAGUCAGCGGUGAAAGGCAGCGGCUCAACCGUUGAAUUGCCGUUGAAACUGGGCGCCUUGGAUUCGGUCGAGGCCGGCGGAAUGCGUGGUGUAGCGGUGAAAUGCUUAGAUAUCACGCGGAACGCCGAUUGCGAAGGCAGCUGGCCAGACCGAGAUCGACGCUGAGGCACGAAAGCGUGGGGAUCAAACAGGAUUAGAUACCCUGGUAGUCCACGCCGUAAACGAUGAUCACUGGAUGCCGGCGAUACACCGUCGGUGUCUGAGCGAAAGCAUUAAGUGAUCCACCUGGGGAGUACGAUCGCAAGGUUGAAACUCAAAGGAAUUGACGGGGGCCCGCACAAGCGGAGGAACAUGUGGUUUAAUUCGAUGAUACGCGAGGAACCUUACCUGGGCUAGAACGCCGAGCGCAUAUGGGGGAAACCCCAUAGCCAGCAAUGGCGGUCGGCGAGGUGCUGCAUGGUUGUCGUCAGCUCGUGCCGUGAGGUGUCGGGUUAAGUCCCAUAACGAGCGCAACCCCUACUGUUAGUUGCCAGCGGAUCAUGCCGGGGACUCUAACGGAACUGCCAGCGUAAGCUGUGAGGAAGGUGGGGAUGACGUCAAAUCAGCACGGCCCUUACGUCCAGGGCUACACACGUGUUACAAUGGCCGGUACAGAGGGCAGCCACCCCGCGAGGGGGCGCGAAUCCUCAAAGCCGGUCCCAGUUCGGAUCGGAGUCUGCAACCCGACUCCGUGAAGCUGGAUUCGCUAGUAAUCGCGCAUCAGCCACGGCGCGGUGAAUACGUUCCCGGGCCUUGCACACACCGCCCGU